GGCGGAGUGGCCGAGUGGUUAGGCAGGGGCCUGCAAAGCCCCCGACGCGGGUUCGAUUCCUGCCUCCGCCU
rnacentral:tRNA from 1 species